GUGCCACUGAGCUCCAGCCUGGGCAACAGAGCAAGAUUCUGUACCCCCGACCCCCCGCCAAAAAAAAGCUUUGAUCUGCCAUGAGAAGGCACCCAUGAUUUGUGGUGAACCUCAGGUUACAAUAAUAAGCGUAGGUUGUGGCCCCACAGAGGCCUCCUUAAUUCUCUUGUAGCCUCUUGACACCCACCCCACCCCACAUCAUCCUCCAACCUCAGGGUAAAGUGAGCCACUGCACUUUGGGGAGAAGUUGCAAAGGCAGUGUGUCAGAGGCCAGUGGUUUUACUCUAAUACCCAUUGUUUUCUUUCCUAGAGUUCUUUGAAGAAAUAUUCUUUUUUUCUCAAGCUAAUUCAAAUUAAGUUUCUGUCACUUCCACCAAGAAUUCUGAAGUCCAACUUCAUCAAAAUCUUAGCUCGACUUACCAUAACAAAAUACCAGCUUGAAGAAGGGAAAUUUAUUUUCUUACAGUUUUGGACGCUGGAAGUUCGAGAUCAGGGUACCAGCCUGAUCAGGUUCUGGAGAGGGCCCUCUUCCUGGCUUGCAGAUCACCACUUUCUUGCUCCUCUUCUUGUAAGGCCACAGUCCUCUUGGAUUAGGGCUCUACCUUAUACCUCAUGUGACCUUAAUUACCUCCUAAAGACACUAUGUCUGGAUACAGUCACAUUGGGGGCUAGGGUGUCAACAUAUGAAUUUUGGGGGGACACAACUCAGUCCAUAACAUCUGUCAUUAUGCCCACUGGCCUUGGAGAGUUAGUAGAAGGCCCUCAUCCUUGCCCGAAAGAAUACGAUAACAUCAGACUUCUUUGGUACACAGAUUAUAGUAAAAGUUCAGGCAAAGCCAUGCUGACUGCACUAGGGACAGGGAUAUGUUAUGCUUCACUGAAAGACAAUACCUUGAUUCUUUUGUAGCUGAUAAGCAUGAUGACUGGAGUUUCACGUGCAUGUGUGAGAUAUACCUCCCUCCAACCUUGUUACCACAUCUGCACAUUACCUGCCUGAUGUGAACAAAAGAAAAGAAAGAUUUUUUUUUUUAAAGACCAUGCCUUUGAAUUGGAUUUCACAGCUCCCUGCUAGGAAAACAAGCAGUCACAAUUUUCUCUGGUAGUAACGGGACACUUACAGGAUAAAAAGAUGUAUGCAUAAGAAUGUUCAUCCUAGUGUGGUUUCCCCUAAUGAAAAAGUAGAAAUAUCCUCAAUGUCCAUCAAUAGGCAUCUUGAUGUCCAUCAAGAACUUUAGGAUAUAUGCAUGCUUUGGAUACUAGACAGCCACUGAAAAUCAAGCAGAAAUGACUCUCAUUAAUUUUGUUACAUAUGGUAAUGAUAUUGGGGCUAUAUAGGAAAAUGUCCUUACUUAUUUAGAGGUACAGACAGUCCCCGACAUGAUUUUUUGACUUUAUAGUGGUGCAAAACAGCUACUUGUGGGGGCUGAGGCAGAAGAAUCACUUAAGCCAGGGAGGUUGAGACUACAGUGAGCCGAGAUCACACCACUGCACUUCAGCCUGGGUGACAGAGUGAGACCCCGUCUCUAAAAAAAAGAAAGAAAGAAAGGAAAAGAAAAACAAAAAUCAUAAAUUGAAAAUGCACUUUUUAUGUGUGAGAUAGGGUCUCACUCUGUCACACAGGCUGGAGUAAAGGAGCGCAAUCUCAGCUCACUUCAGCCUCGACCUCCCACGCUCAAGUGAUUCUCCUGCCUCAGCCCCUCAAGUGGCGGGGACCACAGGCCUGCACCACCACACCCGGCUAAUUUCUUUUUACUUUUGGUAGAGAGGUUUCACCAUGUCGCCCAGGCUGGUCUCAAACUCCUGAGCUCAAGCAAUCCACCCGCUUUGGCCUCCCAACAUGCUGGGAUUACAGGUGUGAGCCACUGUACCCGGUCUGCACUUUUGACUUACAAUAACUUCAAUGUACUAUGGUUUUGCAUAUACUAAAAUACUUAGGCACAAUGUAGUAUAAUAAAGAAUAUAUCAAGUCUUCAUCCCCCAUUCCUGGCACAGUGCUUCAAAUGCUCUUGAAAUUUUCCAAGUGAUGGCAAUGCCUUUGUUACAGUAAUGAAGUGACUCUGUGCAG
rnacentral:lncRNA from 10 species